UAUGUUUACCUGUGUGUGCACGUGUGUAAAUGUGUACAUGAAUCUGCAUAUGUGCAUGUAUGCAUGCGUGUAUGGGUAUACACAUGUGUUUUGAUGUGUACUUGUGUGCAUGUAUGUACGUGUGUACACAUACGUGCAUGCAUACAUGUGUGUGCACAUGCUUGCAUAUGUUUACAUGUGUGCACAUGUGUGCACAUGCGUACAUGUAUCUGAGUGUGUGUACCCGUCUUUGCAUGUGUGUACACACUGUGCACGUGCAGGAAUGUUGCUUUGCAGUUUGGAUGUGCAUGUGUGUGUUUGCAGCCAUGCAGCUGGGUGUGCAUGUCCACGUGUUUGUGUCCACGCGUGGCUGUGCACGUUUCCUUGUGUUGUGUGUGCACCUAUUUGUGCAUGUGUGUGUGCAUACGUUUGCAUGUAUGGACGCGUGUAGGUGUGUGUGUGUGUGUGUCCAUAUGCACGCUGUGCUCACAGUGGGGGCAGAUUGCUGCCUCCCAGCACUGCUCUCAUUACUGCCAUUACUCCAACACUGAUUCCAGCUCCUCGUGUGAUGAGCACCGACGCUUUGCUGGAGUUCCUCUUUGGAUUUUUCCCUUUUCCACUCUCCCAUCAGGUGCCACAUCAUUAGCACAGGGUCAGAAUGCAGAGCACGCUGAUUAAAGGACCUUUUUGGAGGAAAGAUAAUUAUCCCAGCCUCUUCUCCCUGUCACGUGGCACUGGCUAAUGCCUAAUUAGUGAGACCCCCAUUGGUGAGCAUUGCACCGUUUGCACCCAUCAUGGAAACUUCCUCUCUGGAUGGAAACUGGGAGCAUCCGUUGCGUGUUUGUCGAUGAAACCUCCCUUUCUGGAGGUCAGCACAGUCCCUGGAGUUAGAUAAUGAUUAAUAUAUAGAUUGCAAAUCCGUGCUGCUGGCCAACUCCUGCUUUUGGGAAUGGAAGGGAGAUGGAGAGCGUAUGAGUCGUGCUGCUGGGAGGUGGAGGGACAGGCUGGUGGGGAAGGAAAGCAGCAGGGGAGGAACAGUGUUUGCUGAGCAGUCAAGGAAAGGCUAAGAUGACUGAAAGAAUCUCUAAGGGCAUCCAGAGAGCAGCAAAUCUGACUGGUGCAGUGCAUGCAGGAGGGCUGGAGGAUUCGGAAGAGCUGGAACAAAUGAUAGGGCAUGUUUCCAGCUACAGGUUGGUUUGUUCUUUCUGCAUCUUUUCUCACCCGGCUCCUAUUGUAUGGAAAGGUGGGAGGUGGGGGAUGCAGCAUUUCCUGGCUUGCAGGGAUGUUUGCUUGAGAAGCAGCAAGCUUUGCACAAAGCUCUGGGCAGAUCUCUUCUGCUUGGGUGCUGAACAGGCCACAUCCAUCACAAAUGUGAGCAGAAAUACAGACAUCCAUCCAGCCCAUUCCAGUGGGUCAGACUCCACACCUCCCACCAUAUUGGUGCGUGUGCAAGAAGCCAAGUGUGCAACGAGGCCGCUUUCAAGUUGGAUCCAGAGUCUCCAUCCCUGUAAGAAGGGGUUUCUGAUGGGCUCAGGAUGGGUCGUGCUGCCUGGAGCCUGGGGAUGGACCCCCUCUGUCCCUCCCGUCCCCAUGGGUUGGAGGGCAAAGGCUGCUGGAUAUGGCAGGACGGAGCUGGGAUGCGCUUCUGGCACACCUCAGCCAAGAUGCUCUGAGAGCAUCAGCUUCAGGUGCUGCUUAAUGCUGAGCAUCCCAGGUACAGAGAUAGGAACUUCAGUGGCAAAGUCCCUUGGUGAGCCCUCAGCAUCUUUUCCAGCCCCAUCCUAGGCACUGAGCUGCCCUACGGUGCUCCAUCAUCACCUGCCUUCCCAGACGCAUUUAAUGAGAUUAAAUCGGCCUUCCUGUGUGGUUUUCUCCCUUCAUUGGGUAGAACUCGCUGGGGGUGCUGAUCCCAAUGCAAACCUCCUCCUCUCUUCCCAAAGUUACCACCGGAGAGACUCGGCAGCAUCGACCCGUCCAUAAACCCGUCGUGUUUGGGCACAAGAGGGCACUGGAACACUGCUGUGAUGGGAUGGUUUGUGGCUGCAAGCAGAGCUGCUGCGGCCACAAAGUCCCUCCGCACCUUCCCCAUGGAGCAGACAUCCGGAGAACGUCCUGCACCCUGCUGCAAGCCCUUCCAGUUAAAUCACACUGCUCUGGGAGUCAGCAAUUCCUCCUGCAUGAGCAGAGCUGCAUUCCUUGCUGCUUCCUGGGAUGCCCAUCCAGGUGAGAGCAACAAAAUCCCUUCUGCUGCGAGUCCAACACCUGCGAAACCAAAGAGCACCUUUAUUUGCUGGGGCUGGAAAGGUUGGAAAUCAUCCCUCUGCGCUCUGCUUAAUUGAUAUUAAUCUAAUCAAUGCAAAUCGUAUUAGCUCUCCUGGAAACACUGGGCCUUCAACCAACAGCAGCGCUGGUUGUUCUGUAUAAAUCAAAUUUAGCAGCCUAUAAACAUCAGUACAUCCCACAGACACAGUCACCCUCAUAAAGGCAUCAAUUGCCAUCUGAGUGUAUUAGCAGAAAUAAAUUACAGAACUUUAUCUCCCUGCCAUGCUGAUGGGCAAAACCACAUAAAAGAGGCACUUGGAAGGCGCUUUUGUGUCGAUUGUUACAGAAGCUGCCGAUGCUGUUCUGCUUCUUCAAAAUGCCUCAAAUUGCAUCUCAUUAAGGGAUCGGAAGAGCUUUGAUGAGUGAAUGAUAAAAAUGCCCCUCUGCGAAUCCUGGAGCACCUGUGUGAGCAGUUCUGUGCAGGCAGAGGGGAUCAAACCAACUUUUUACACACCUGGCAGUGGGAGGGGGUGCAGGAUGGGCUCCUUUACGCUGUUCCUGCAGUGAGGGGUGAACAGGAGAAAGCGAGGAAAGAGUUUGUGCUAUUCAGCCCCUCAAAAAGAAGGCUGCCAGGUGGCUUGAUUGCAGUGGGAGCAUCUCUGGAGGAGCAAAUCGCUCAGGAGAGGGGUGAGAAAUGAGGAUUCAGGCUGCCAGGGUGAUGCAGAUCUAUUAGGGAAGAGAUGGGCUGUCCUGGAGCCUCAAGGUGGAAUCCAGGCUGCAUUAAGGUGCUUUGCAUCAGAUCACCUUGGGGACACCGCCUCCCUAAUGCUUGCUGCUUUCCCACUUAAUGGAGCCAUGCUGGGAUGCCCCGUGUCUGUCUGUCUUUCUGUCUGUCUGUCUGUCUGUCUGUGCCUUCAUGAGCUUCCAGCAGAGCUCUCCCACCCCAUCAGCUUUAUCUCACCUCACCCACCAGUCCAGCUGACAGCGUGGUGCCUGCUCCUAGAUAGCAAGGGCUAGGAUAAGCCUCCUGUUCCUCUGCACCUCUUUAUGGAGGUCUUAUCCUCCUGCUCUGCCUCAGGUAUGUGGCAGCCUUGUUACCAUAGUAAUAUACCUCACCAUCUUCAGUGCUCCUCGCAGAGUGCCACUGCUGGCCCAUGGCGCUUACAAGGGAAGAAGGAGUUGGAUGGGGACCACAAAAUGCCUGGGAGCCUCACAGACCUGCUGUGGGCAACCAGGUGGUGGCCAGGAUCUGUGGGAGAUCAUCCCUGGUGGCUCAGCUUUGCCCUAUCUCAGCCCCACAGCAGCGUUCCGUGGCUGUUCCUGAUGCUCCCAUCCUCAUCCCUUCUCUCUGUGCUUGGUGACAAGAAGCGAUUAAGGGCUUUAAUAAUUUGGAUUUAUUCUUUUCUUCUAUCCGAGCCUGCUCAAAGAACGUUAGAGUGAUGCUAGGUAAGACUAAGCAGCUGGAGAUGCUUCCUUUCAGCAGCUGGAGAUGCUUCCUUUCAGCAGCGCAUCCUUUGCUGUGUUAAUAACUGUGGGGGCUCCUCCUGGGCACAUACAAAGCCUGCACAGUCACUUCCAGAGUAUUUGGGAUGUGUUUUCCUUUGGGUAAAUGCACAGGAGGUUCUUGUGUCUGACAGCUGUGCUCUGGUGCUCUGCAGGUUGUUCGGUGGCAGGGUGUUUUGUGCAGGAGCCCGGCUCCAGCCCAGCUUUCUGGGAUGCCUUCAUGCUGUGCCUUCCCUCUGGUAGGAAAACAUGGAAACCUGAUGUUGCACGGCUUCUGGAGGGGCAAGGAGGCUUCGUUUGGGGUGGCUGGGAGCUCAGGUAGAAAUGGGGAUUUGGCACUCAAAACCAGAGGGCAAAACUCAGUGGUGAUGGCACGUGAGGACAGGUCUUCAGCAGGUGCUGACGCAGCGCGGGUAUUUUCUUAGAGUGCCAUGCUCCCCAUUCCUUCAGCCUUGAUUCCCCUGGAGCUGCACUCCAACCUGUGGUCAGCCUGCCAAAGCUGGCUCCUCUCUCCAGCUUUCUCCAGGAUGAGAUAAAUCUGCCCCAACAUGCAGCAGAGACAAAUGCUGGAGUCGAUGUGCUCUGGCAGUAUGCUCCAGGCUCUUCUCUACGUCCAGCAGAUUCCCCUCAGUUGAGCCCUUCUCCAUCACUCAAUGGCACUCAAUGGGAUGCUGCUGGGUUCUUUAUCCCAAUGCCAACAUCCCCCUGGAGCACCAAGGUCCCCUCCACAUGCUUCAGUCUAGCACUGUGUAAAUACUGGAGCAGAUGCCAGCUUGGGAAGCUGGGAACAGCUUAAAUCUUCUGCUGAACGUGGGCUUCAUGGGCAGAUGGGCCAAAGCAGGAGGCAGCCAGCACUGGGGAUGUGAGCUGCCCGUCAGCUCCCCUUUGUAGACAGGCGCUGCUUUUAAUGUAGUGUCAUAAUUGACCCUAAUUGACUUAUUGCUUGUCUUCACAAAUCGCCCUCUUAAUGACAGUUGCAACUCCAGCCUGUGCAAACGACCCUGCUAAUGACAGAUGCACUGAGUGCUUUUGCUUAUUCAUAGAGAGGCAGGAAAUCACUGAAAGCUAAAAGGUUGGGAACAAGAAUGGGAUGGGAUGCCACUGUCUGCCUGGCAGCUGCUCCAGGAGUCUGUGCCCGGUGUCCCACUGUCACCGUGCCCUGCAUUGCUGGUGCUCAUCCCAUUGCAUGGGACGUGAUAAGCAACUGAUGGCUGCACCAGAGCAGCUUAAAACCACUUUUUGGUGGCAUGCCAGUGUUUUGGCAAGCCUCGGGGCAUCGAGCAUGAGGACAGCGGUGUCUCAUCUCUAGCUGGUUGAAGUUCAGUGGGGAGCAAAGGGACUACUGUGCUCCCAACUACACCUGGGAUGCUUGGGUUGGGGGUUCAAGAACUUUGCUUGCUUUCUGGCUCCAGGAUUUAUUAUUUGCUCUGAAGGUUAACAGUUUUACCAGGAGCAACACAAGAUCCCGUGGUUUUGUGCCUGGGGUCUUUGCAAGCAAUGGGCUGACAGCACGGAGGAAGAAGGAGAAGUGAAAACCCCUUCUCAUGCAGCUCAUGCUGUGGUGGGACCCAUUGGUUGAUGUCCAAUUUCUCCUCAUCAAAUCCCAUCAAAGUGCAGAGUGGUCCAAGGGCUGAUGGAUGGGUAGAGAAUAACAACCCAGAUUAAUGCCAGGUCCAAGGGGAACAUGGGCAGCAGUUGACUGUUGGGUGCUGAGCUUGGGAUCAGCCCAGUGGCCAACAGAAGGGUGGUGAACAGAAGGUGUCCUCCUUCCAGAGGACACGAGGAGGAGCAGAUAUCACUGUGGGAUCUGCAGAUUUAAGGGGCUGAGCACACUAACCCGCGAGAGAUCAACAGUUCGCAGGCGGUUCCGGUUCUUUAUUUUUUUCCAUUGGAUUCAACUCUGGAUUUUCUUAUCUGCCUAACAUGACAACCCCUUUUAAAAGCUGCCAGAUGAUCUAUGAUGGCAAUGAGUUCCAGAGGCCAAGUGUGUCACGCCAGUCUGAGCUUCUAGGGAGUUUUAUGCAGCUGUCUCAAUCCCUCACUCUUGCUGUGGAGCUUCAGAAGAGCACGAUCUUUUCUAUUUUGUAGAAAACCAGAAAGCACAGCGAUGGGGCUGCCAUCUCUGCUCGAGAUGGUCCUGAGCCCUUCUUCACACAUUGACACUCCUUCAGCCAUAGCGUUUGAGCAUCCAUAAUUAAUGCCUCCACUAAAGACAAACAGCGUUCGGGAAGAUUUAUCAUUUCUUCUCUUGUAAUUACCUGUCAAAAUUAAAAUAAUGGCCUUUUUAGACGGAA